GCCGGCGUAGCUCAACUGGCAGAGCACUCGCCUUGUAAGCGAGCGGUUGAGGGUUCGAGUCCCUCCGUCGGCUC
rnacentral:tRNA from 1 species